AUAGGAGAUUUCAUUUGUUUCUUCAAUUUUUUUCUUUUAACCUUGUGGCAAGAGAUAAGAGAACACUUGCCUAGUGGCUACUUGUUUGUUUGACUUCAUGUCCCUGGACUGUGACAAAGGGCAGAGUGUGUGGUAAUGAAAACUUAUUCAUAAUCUUAAAUAUGAUGUAAGUGGCUGAAUUGGAAAGGGAGAUGCCCAUUACCAAAGGCCCUGGUGGGGAGAAGGCCUUAUUAGUGCUGGAAGGUCGUCACGGUGGAGAGUUCAGACAUAGCUGUGCUAUUCGCAGACAGAGUAAACUCAUCAUUCUUGGAAUUUCAUUCUUGGGAAAUGAUUGAAAGAGGGUGUAAAAAUAUUUACAACUUAUAUGAACUUACCACUAUCCAAAUAUUCUGAACACCUGGGAUUAUGUUUUAUUAAAAACACACAAAGUCGGCACUCAGUAAAUAUUUGCAGAGUGUUGAAUGAAUGAGUGAACCACUGGUGACUGUUUCUACCUGAGAAAUAAAUGAAGAAUGUAUUCAUUUGGGCUUGUAUGUUUCCUCUGCAUUCAAUGAUGACCUACAGAUCCAAUUGACUGUAGGGCUGAGCGCCUAGGCCUGUGACUAGAAAGAGCUAGAUUUGGUUUGUUUACGAGAUAAAAUUGAGGGAAAACAUUUCUUUUUUUUUUUUUUUUUUUUUUUUUGAGUCGAAGUCUUGCACUGUCGCCCAGGCUGGAGUGCAGUGGUGAUAUUGGCUCACUGCAACCUCUGCCUCCUGGGUUUGAGUGAUUCUCCUGCCUCAGCCUCCUUAGUAGCUGGGACUACAGGCACCCGCCACCACACCUGACUAAUUUUUUGUAUUUUUAGUAGAGACAGGUUUCACUAUGUUGGCUAGGCUGGUCUUGAACUCCUGACCUCAGGAUCUGCUUGCCUCAACCUCCCAAAAUGCUGGGAUUACAGGCGUGAGCCACCGUGCCCGGCUGAGGGAAAAUAUUUCUCUGGACUUAAUCGGGCCCUCAAGAAUGUUUAAAAUAGUAGCAGAGAAAUUUCUCCUAUCAAUCCAAUGUCUCAGUGACCAAUUCUACACCUCCAGGCUUCUUAUAUGGAAUGGGAUGGGGGGGGGUGUUGCCGAUGUUAGAGGGGGUUGUGGACCCCAAGGACAAUCAUUGAGUCAGAACCAACAAAUGUUUGAGCAACUCUCAGGUUCUAGGCCUUUUUAAAGAUGUUAUUUCAUGAAAUUCAACAACUGUGUGAAAUAGAUAUUGCACCCAUUUUACAGAUUCAUAAAACUUCAAGGAAGAUUAAGUGACCUGAUAAAGUGGAAGAUCAAUGUAUUCCAGAGCGCCUGUUUUUCAACUCCAAAUACUCUACUGUUUUGACUCCACUGUGGCUAAUUAUUAAACCAGAAAUUUCUGUUAGGCAAAAGGACAGGGAGUGUGUGAGAAGUGAGGUCAUAACUUUGACACAUCUUCAAAACGUUUUAGGAUAGCAAACUGACAGAGAGCAGGGUUGGCUUAACUUUUGGUUUUGCAAAGGGACAUGAAAGCAGGCACUCUAGACGCUGGUGCCUUGAAUCCCGGCUCCACCAUGCACUCACGAUGAGACUUUGAACAAGGCCCUUCACCCUCCUUUGCUGCAUCUCCUUAUCUUUAGGAUGGGAAUGAAAACACCUACUUACCAGGUGGAGAGGAUGAGGAUCAACAGGAUAGUCUAUGUGAUGUGCUCAGUUCAUGGCUCACAGGAAGUGCUCUGAACCCAUGAGAUUAACGAGCUUUGGAAGUGAACUCUGGAAAUGGAUGUGAAGUGUGAAAAGGCUGGAGAAGGAGGGAUGCCACAUGGCUUCUGUAUUGGACAGCACAACUCUAGAAUCAAGACCAUCGUGGAUCAACUGUGGAUACCACCUUGCAUUUUAAUUCUCUGAAUGGAAAGGGUCUUCAGGGCUGAAGCAGUUUUCCCACAACCUCCUCCACUGUUAUAGUCAAUGUUCAUGAUACAGACGAUUGCUUCAAUAUCCAGCUCAGUGUCUUCCACCUAGUAAGUGCACACUAAAUACUAUUGAUUGGAUUUCCAGUGACUGUAUUAAUAGUGAACUCAAAUGAUUUACUAAUAUUCUUCACCAAAUCUGGUCAUUUCCGAAAAGUAGAAACAAUGAAAAAAUAAACAAACCAAGAAUGGUGAUUGGAAAGCCCACUUUGAUAAAUGUCUGACUUGCUAAGACAAUCCAUAUUUAUGUGCUAACAGGAAAGAGCUACCAGAAGUCUUAAACUCGUGUUGAUGUUACUCUUCUCUGAACUCUCUCUGUGCUUAUGAUUUUUAUAUGAUGUGCUUAUGAGUUUUUUUUUUUUGAGAUGGAGUUUCACUCUUGUUACCCAGGCUGGAGUGCAAUGGCACGACCUCGGCUCACCGCAACCUCCGCCUCCUGGGUUCAGGCAAUUCUCCUGCCUCAGCCUCCUGAGUAGCUGGGAUUACAGGCAUGCGCCGCCAUGCCCAGCUAAUUUUUUGUAUUUUUAGUAGAGACGUGGUUUCACCAUGUUGAUCAGGAUGGUCUCGAUCUCUUGACCUCGUGAUCCACCCGCCUCGGCCUCCCAAAGUGCUGGGAUUAGAUGUGCUUAUGAGUUUUAUAUGGUGUGCCAUGUAGUGAAUUUUGUCUUCACAAAUUACUUCUGUUCUUAACAUAAAAAUCAAGGUAAGAAUGUUGGUUUGACCAGUUGUAGGUUCAGUAACACUGGAUCCAGCUUUCCAGGAGAUGCCCAGAAUCUCCAUAUGACCAACUAUGGACCUGUAAGAUUCACAUAGUCACUACCUAUUCCGAUCAUCACUUUCCGUGAAGACCCAAAUCUCGCAUUAUGUUUUAAUAGAAUCAACCAUCACCUUGCAGUCUGUCUUACUGUUGACUUUUAUUUUCAUUUGCACAUUUUCCCUUUUAUGAAAGGGCUACUCCUUUUCCUCGGUUCGCUUGUGAUCUUUAGUUUUUUAUUACUUGCUUUUCUUGCUGUUGAACAAGGUUUAAAUUGGAUUACUGAUCUAAAAUAUUCAUUUUGAAAAUUACUUCACAAAAAAUUAAAAGAUUAAUAGUUGAUGCUUUCAACUGUGGUCUUUAGUGAGAGCCAAAUGGUAUUAAAGUGUGUUCUUCAUUGUCUGUUUGUUCUAAAUAAUAUCUAUUAGUAUGAUUAGUACCAAUAUUUAAACUAACUAAAGAAGCAAUUUUGCUCUGUUGCCCAGACUGAAGCACAGUGGAGCAAUCAUAGUUCAUUGCACCCUUUACCUCCUGAGCUCACGUGAUUAUCCCACCUCAGUCUCCCAAGUAGCUGGGCCUACAAGUGCAUGCUACCAUGUGUGGCUAGUUUUUAAUUUGUUUUUGUAGUGGUAGAGUCUCACUAUGAUGCCAGGGAGUUCGCUGGGCUCGAGUGAUCCUCUUGCCUCAGCAUCCCAGAGUGCUGGGAUUACAGCCAUGAGCCACUACCAGGGGCUAUGAUCUGUCCUUUUCUGUUGCUCACAUACCACCGUAGUGCUAACCACUUGCUGAGUUCUAGUUCUAAUCAUUCAUAGGGUAGGGACUUCGGGUACUAUGUUCUAUUGCUAAACUCUGGCUUUUGCACUGUGAAAGUGGAAGACUAUUUGGAGGUGGAACAAGUGAGUUGCAAUCUUUACAUAUCUAAACCAGGACCAGAAAUCCUGGAUUGCUGCAUUUGCCAUUUGUUCUUAAAAAUAAUAAAUCCUAGAACAUAUUUUAUUAACCUAAGUUAUUACAUAUCAAAAAUUAAAUCUUCCCGAGACAAAUAAAAUAAAUGAAAAGUUAAUUUUGAAUGUAGCUUAUUUCAAAAAUUACACUUAAAUCUGUAGCUGAGAAUAAUUUCCUUUAGUGAAGAAGACAUAAUUUAAAUGUAAAAUUUUAGAAUGAAAAACUUCUUAUAGAUUUAAUUCCUUCUCAUUUUAGAACAGAGUUAAAAUUGCUUCUUUGGUUAAUUUAAAUAUUGGUACUAAUCAUCCUAAUAGAUAUUAUUUAGAACAAAAAGACAAUGAAGAACAAGCUUUAAUACCAUUUCACUGUCUCUAAAGACCACAGUUGAAAGCACCAACUAUUAAUCUUUCAAUUUUUUGUAAUUUUCUAAAUGAAUAUUUUAGAUCAGUGAUCCAAUUUAAACCUUGUUAAAUAGCAAGAAAAGCAUGUAAUCAGAAAUAAUUCCUCUGCCACAUUUCAGCAUUAAAGUCGAGGCCUUUUGCAAAGCUUUGAAAAGUAUUUGAAAAUUAGCUCAUUAUAUUUUUUUAAAAAUUCUUUCUUUUUUUUUCUUGGCAUAUACAUGUUAUAUGUCACUUUCUCCCUGAGAGCUUUUGUAAUAGAAAGUCCUCAAUGUGUUUGAAAUAAAAAAUUCUAGGUAAUAAAAUUUUAUUUUCUUUUUAAGGAUAUGCUGAAAGUCAGAAAGGGUAUUAAAGCUUCAAACCACGCAAAGAAACCUCCAAAUAUUUCCAUUAAGAAGAUUAAUAAUUUUCACUGCAUUCAUCUGGGAAAAAAAAAGCCAAUGUUAAAUUAAUCAGCCUGGCAGUUGUUUUGAAAGGGUAAUGUCUUCUGAACAGCCUAUUAGAAGAGAGAUGCGAUGCAGACUUGGAGGUUCAGCAUCUGGAAGCCCUCCAGAGCGUCACACUGAGGAGCCAUGGAGUAGGUUUUUGUGGCGUAGAGCCCUGGAAUUUUUGUAAAUUUUAACUUGAGUGCCCAAAGAGCUGUGGCUAUCUAUGAUUUCAGAGACAGCUCACAGGGUGCUCUAUGAUCUAGAAAGCUUGAACCCUAGUUCUCAUGGAGAUCAUCAGCUCCACGAAAUUAGCUGGAGAAUUCUUAUGGUUGCAGAGAAGGAGGGCAAUUGUCAGGGUUUGCUAAUCUGUAUUCUAUAAUAAUCUGUCUAUUGGUCAGGAUUCUCCAGAGAAACAGAAUUCAGAGGAGAUGCACACACAGACACACACACACACAGUUACACACACACACACACACACACACACACACACUGUACUAUAAGGAAUUAUCUCAAGAAAUAUAGAAGCCAAGAAGUCUUAGAAUCUACAGUCUGGGCAAGCUGGCUAUUCAGAAGUACAAAUGGUUUAGUUCCAGUUCAAGUCCAAAGGCCUGAGAACAAGAAGAGCCAAUGACAUAGGUUCCAACCUGAAAGCCAGAGGCUCCAGACCCAAGAAGAGCCCAAGUUUUAGUCUAUGCUUAAAAGCAGAGAAAGAUUGAUAUCUCACCUCAGGCAUUUUUUGUUCUCUUCAGGUCUUCAACUAACUGACACCCACCCACAGUGGGGAAGGCCAUCAGCUUUACUUAGCCUACUGAUUCAAAUGUUAAUCUUAUCCAGAAUGAUGUUUUCCCAAAUGGCUGGGCACCAUAGGUCCAGUCAAAUUGACACAGAAAAUUAAUAAUCGCAAUCUGAUAGCUUUUCUCACAUUGCCUAAAAGAUGCUGAAACUACCUGUGAUACAUAUAAUUUUAAAGGCAAGAUUUAAAAGAAUUAAAAGCAGGGCUUUAUGUGGAACUAUUAAUAUUUCAGACUUGGAAGAAUUUUUUUUUUUUUUGAGUCAUAGUCUUACUCUGUUGCCCAGGCUAGAGGGCAGUGGCACAAUCUCAGCUCACUACAACCUCUGCCUCCCGGGCUCAAGCAAUUCUCUGCCUCAGCCUCCUGAGUAGCUGGGAUUACAGGUACCUGCCACCAUGCCCGGCUAAUUUUUGUAUUUUUACUAGAGACGAGUUUCACUAUCUUGGCCAGGCUGGUCUUCAACUCCUGACCUCGUGAUCCACCUGCCUCGGCCUCCCAAAGUGCUGGGAUUACAGGUGUGAGCCAACACCGCUUCUGGCCAGAAGAAAUCUUUGAAAUUUCGAGUACAACUCUUUCAUUUUAUCUUCAUAAAGAUGACUCUCUUGGGGUCUCUGAGGUAAUGAGAGGCCAUGCCGGUUCCUGGCCUCCUGUUCUUAGACACGAGCUUCUUCUACAGUCCAUGUAACCCCUCUCAGAGUCAAGGAAGGCAUCACCCGAGGGGAGGCUUGUUUUCUCCUUCAUCUGCUUCUGCUCUUUAUUCUGCUCCUCUCCUCACCUACCCCAGACUCCUCCUCCAAUUGUUCCUCUUCCUUUUCUCAGUCAUUGUCUUACUCUUCCUGUUUCCCCUCUUCCUCUUCUCUUUCUCCAACUUUACCUCUUCUUCUUUCUUUUCUUUCUCUUUCUCCUCUUCCUACUCUGUCUCCUUUCUUUUGGUGUGGAUAAACUUAGUAAAGAGGUUUCCGAAGGUUGUUCUGUCUUCAGCUUGAAGGUGAAGACAUCAUCUCCCUGUGAUGGCUCCUCUUUUGAGCCAUGCUCCCGGAGACAUAAUCAAAAUAAGAGUGUACUUGAGGACUUGGAAACUGCAUGUGUCAUGCCCCUUUGGACGACACUUUACCUCUUAUAGGAGAGAUUGUUCAGGGCAUUUGCUCAGUAAGAUUCACAUUUAAUUAGUACAUCCUGUAUGUUGGGUAGUAUGUUAGGCACUUCAGCUCAGGUAAGAGGCAGAGAGAGGUCUGGAAAGGUCUAUUAUAAAAAGGUAGUAAACUUUUAAUCAUCUCUUCAGCAAAAGAUGUAAAAAUUACGGACUAGAAAUAAUAACAGUGCCUAGAUAAAUUUUUCAAGUUUCGUAUUAUCUCAAUGUUUGGUAUUAAUUAAUUUCAUUUUUUAUUAUUGCACUUAUUGUGUUGUUAUUGCAUCUUUGACUACAUUCAUGAAUUCACUUGUUUAUUCAUUCAACUACUUACCCAACUAUCUAACAUUUACUUAGUUUCUACUCUGUUCUGGGCAUGUAUUAGUAAAUAAGACAGAGUUUUCUCUCAGAAGGAGAUAACAUAGCAUAAAGACUAAGAAUUUUGACUCUGGAAUUGGAUGGAUGGUGUUUGAGGCACAGUUUUUGUCGCUCGCUUAGACUAUCUUUCUAGGCCUAGUUUGCUCGUGUGUAAAGUGGGGAUUAAUAUGACUCUGGCGAAGAUGAAAGGCGUUUUAGGAGUGCUUGGCACAUAGUAAGCACUCAUGGAUGUUCGUCAUUGUUAUUACUGACAGCUGGCUCAGAGAUUUAUGGACGUAAACCAAUAGAGAACAGUGUAGCAAACGUCAGUGCAAGGAAGCACUUUGCCCCAGCUAGAGAGGUCACCAAAGUCUUUCUGGAAGACAUGGCACUUGAGUCAAGAUCAGAGGCAGAAUAGCAGCUACCUGACAAAGAGACUAGAAAAGGAUAUUCCAGGCAAAGGGAACAGCAUGUACAAAUGCAGUAGGCUAUAAGAACUUGAAGCAGGUGUAUUAGUCUGUUCUCAUACUGCUAUAAAGAAAUAUGUGAAACUGGGUAAUUUGUAAAGAAAAAAGGUAUAAUUGGCUCAUGGUUCCACAGGCUGUACAGGAGUCAUGGUGCUGGCAUCUGCUCAGCUUCUGGGGUGGCCUCAGGAAAACUUACAAUUACGGUGGAGGGCAAAAAGGGGUCAGCGUCUUAAAUGGUCAGAGCAGGAGGAAGCGGGGGGGUGGGCAGGGAGGUGCCACACACUUUUAAACAGCCAGAUCUCAUGAAAACUCUAUCAUUAGAACAGCACCAAAGGGGAAAUCCACAGCCACGAUCCACUCACCGCCCGUAAGACUCCACCUUCAACACUGGGAUUACAAUUUGACAUGAGAUUUGGGUGGGGACACAGAAGCAAACCAUAUCACAGUGCUUGAAAAAGAGCACUAAAGCAGAAAGGUUUUAUUUAUUAAAUGGCAGAAGCAGACUCGGUAGGGGUCAGUUUGAGGUAGGACAGUUCAAUCACACGUUUUAUAGAUGAAAAUACUGAGGCCCGGCUGCCUUGAUUGAACUGAAUAGACUAAGGUCAAAAAGCUGGUGAAUGAGAGCACUCAUUUACACAAUAGCCUCCAUCACCAGUGCAGAGCUGGUGUGGGGGAAGAGCCUGCUGUAAGUGUACAUGCAGGAGGCAAGAGUUUGUGUAGAGAAGUUCGCAUCAGCAGCUAUGUCUCUCUAUGACUUAUACUCUCUUUCUUAACUCGCUAUGUAUUAAGGCUAUUAAAGCAAGCAUUUUGGGGUGUAUUAUUGCUAGAAGCCUAUCUUAAUCCAUUUUGUGUUGCUAUAACGGAAUACCUGAGGCUGAGUAAUUUAUAAAGGAAAGAGGUGUAUUCAUCUCACAGUUCUGCAGGCUGGAAAGUUCAAGAAGCAUGGCACCAGUGUCUGCUCAGCUUUUGUGGAGGGCUUUUGUGCUGCAUCAGAACAUGGUGAAGAAGAGCAAAGGGGAAACAGACACCUCUGAAGAGGGCCUGAACCCGAGGUGUGUUCGGAUUUGUAACAACCUAUUCUUGAGGGAACUAAUGCAUUCCUUUGAGAACUAGUCCUGUCUUGCCAGAGUAACUCACUCACUACCACGAGAACAACACUAACCAUUCAUGAAGGAUCUGCCUCUGGGAUCCAAAUACCUGCCACUAGGACCCACCCCCACAAUACCCUUAUAUUGGGAAUUAAAUUUCAACAUGAGCUUUGGUGGGGACAAACAAACCAUAGCAAAUAUGUUAAUGUUUCUCCUUCUCAGACCUCACCCACACUGUAUACUCCCACUCCUCACUGCAGAUCUAAGAACUGUCAAGUUGGUGCAAAAGUAAUAGCGGUUCUGCCAUUAAAAGUAAUGGCAAAAGCUGCAGUGACUUUUGUACCAACCUAGUGUUUGCAAAUUCCUAGCCGUAUGAUCUGGUCAAGAUGAAGAAAGGGAUCUGAAGAAUUACUGAUUUGAAAUCAAGAAGAAAUAAAGUCCAAGUCUAGGUAUACUGUUUUGCAUGUCCCAAGUUCUCAUCAUUAGUAUUUAUUUAGUCAAUUAGUCAGUCAUUCAACAAAUGGAGCUUUCAUCGACUCUGUGUCCUAGACCCUAGAGAUACCAUGAUGACCAAGACGAACUGCCUCAACCCAUAGUGAUGGCAGGAAUGUGACAAGUAAAUAAGUGACUGCAGAACAGUGUGACAAACGUAAUAAUGGGGGCAGUCCACGCUGUUACGAGGUCUCCUAAGACAGACAUUUAUUCUGAUCCAGAGCAUCAAGAAGGGCUUUCUGGAAGCAGUAGUUUUACUAUUGAGCUUUGAAAUAAAUAGAAGUCAGAAGUUAGUGAGCUGGAAAGAGCUGGUAGUUAGGCAAAGGAGGCCUGGGCCUGGAGGGAAGAGGCUGUAAUUGAGGAAUGAGAAGAGAGGCAGUGUGGCUGGAAUGUAGGGGAUUCAUUCAUCUCCAGAAAGGAGGCUGGAGAGAUAAAUAGAAGUCGGAUAUGAAGGGCCCUGUGAACCUGAGGAAGAAAUGGAAAGUUCAUUCUAGAAACACUGUGGGGUCAUACAGCAUUUAUGCAGGGGAGAAAAAGACCAGACAUUGGAUUUUAGAAAGGUCCUUCCUGUUGCAGUGCUGUCACAGAAGAGAUUGCCCUGACCAAGAGCGUGUGCAGGAAUAUCAGCUUGGGGACUUUUAUAAGAGUGGCCCGAAAAUGAAGGGAAGAGGAAGGAUGGGAGUGACGAUUAGCUUAAUAACUGGGUGUGUGGGUGGAUGAGAGAGAAAUUAUAGAUAAAUUGCACUCACCAGAUGCUACUGAGUCUGUCUGUCUCUGGUAGUCCUGUUCACAGAAGCAGGGGACACUGCGGGGGCGGGGGCAGGUCUAAGGAUAGAAAUAGAAUCAGAAGACAAAGGAGUGAGUUUAGCUUUAGACCACUUGAGUUUGAAAUGCUUGUGGGUCACCCAGGUGUGUCUGUCCAGCAUAAAGCUGGCCAGUGAAAAUAUCAGUGUGUGUAUAUUAACUUAAUAACUAGUUAUUUUAUGAAGACACUCCCUAGAUAAGAAAAUCAGAUUCCACUUAGGAGCUGGCUGGUUUCUCAGCACUCAAAGCAGUCCCAACAGGCUCUCAUUGAGCUCAGAAUGCGUAGCCAGGCACUGGGGGAACGGGGGAAGGAGGAGCAGAGAAAAAUCUAGAUGGGGCUGCUUAUGUAAGGGCGCAAUUCAGAGAGAAAGCCAGAGACACUUCAGAAUCUCUUCUUCAUGGCCAUGGGAAUAAUAGUCAAAUUGUUCCUAAAACACCCAGUUGCAGGAGUAGUAAAUGAACUAAUUUUGCGAUAAGCUCAAAGGACACAGAAGCUAAGAACACUGGAUUUUGAGCAGAUAAUUCUGGUUUAAAAUCCUAUUUCUGUCCCUUUCUAUCUGACCUUAGGGAAAUUACUCACUGUCUCUAAGCCUCAGUUUUUUUUAUCUUUAAAUGAAAUGACACUACCUAGUUAGGUGUAAAAAUACCUAGCUCAUUGGAUUGCUGACGGAUUAAGUGACGUAUUGUAUGUGAAGUUCUGGCAAGUUUCAGUGUUUGUCAAUAGUGAGCCCUCGAUCUGUGGUAGUUACCGUUGCUGUUAUGAGGCAUCCAAGGAAGGCAGAUAUCCUCUUCAUGUUAACUCUAGCAGCUGGGAGAAAAGGAGCAGGCAGCCACACCUAUUCACAUACAUGCGUAUAGAACAUGUGACUAUACACAAAUUUAUAGUAACAGAAGACCCUAUUGUUUUCUUGCUUUAAAACCAUAACCAUGUAAUUUUAUGAAAAUAUGAAAGAAGAGUGCAUCCCGUUGCUAAGUGAUCUGCUCAUGUAAUUACUGGGGAAACAGAUGGCCAAUCAAUAGUAGACAGCUAAUUACUUUACAAAUGGAUUUAGUUAAAGAUUGGAAAUGAUGAUGAAAGUGUGUUGUCCUUAUGUAGCGAUAUUAAGAUGGUUCGUGGUCAAUUAUAAUAAAAUAAAUCACAUUGAAAAGAGCAUCUUAUUUCUACUUUUAAGGUAAUAGGAAGCCAUGGCUUGCUGGAUUGUUGAGCCAAGCUUUGGAAGAAAAAUGGAACCACUCAUUGUGCUAGACAAAUGCUUUCUUCUAGGCUACUUUUUCUUCCAAGGAAGAUGAGCAAUUGAAAAGUAAUUAUCUAUCCAUUCAUUCUGCCAACCAACAUUUAAUGAACAUCCAGCAUUAUCCUUUCAUGCAAACUUCUUUCUUCCACACUCUACCUUCUUCUUCCACACUCUACCUUCUUCUUCCACUUUGCUCCUAAAAUGUCCAAAUGACCAGAAAAAUGUAGAAGUGGGCACCUUGUGCACACACAUGGCUAAUGACAAGGUAUAUUGAAACAACCUUUUAAGAAAACAGCGUGCCUCUGUCAAUCAAGCACAAAAACACUAUGCUAUUUGGUCCAAAAAUCUUACCUCCUUGGAAACUUAUGUGGAGAAACAAAUUCAGCAGAAGAAAAAAGCAGCUUGUAUGGAGAUAUUUACUGUAGAAUCAUUCAUAAUAACAAAUUGGAAACAAAUUAUAUGUCCAAUGCUAAAUAAUAGUUAAGAAUGACAAUCCCAUUUAUUAAUUCUACAUAAUAUUAUGCAGCUAUUUAUAAUGUUUGCAAAGUCUUCCUAGAAAUCUGAACAAAAUUAAUGAUCUCAUAAAUAGGUAGUUUUCAAGAAUUCACCGGUUCUGUGUUUAUAGCUAUGUGAAGAAUAAAUAUAAAAUAUGAAAACGACUGAGAGAGAGCAAAUAAAACUGAAGACAAUUGUGUUAGAGUGCAAUGUCUUUUUUUCAAUAUUUAACAACUUAUUUUGAUAUUCUUUUAUGAUAUAUUAAAUAUGAAUACCACAAAGAAUUCUUCUGUAUGUGGUCAAAAUCCAAGAUGGCACCUUGCCAACAGCAUGGAAAAAGUCUUUCCUACCUUUAGGAUUCAAGUAAUCACAGAGAAAUGAGUAGUUCUGUUUCUCCCUGUUUUGUCUCCCUUGUUUUCUGUUGUGAGAGGCAUUUACAAGUAUCUUGAAUUUCUCUUGCUUAUGAAUUCAACUGCUGCGGCUUUUGCACAAACAGCCUUAAUCCUUUGUUUGGCUUGUCACAGCUGCUACUGCAGGAAUUCUGAUGCCACCAGCAGAGGAUUCAGGAGCUAAAAUGAAGAGGUUUGGAAAUGCCAGUACCCUUCCACCCUUCUCUGGAUAUAACCAACUGCAUAUAUGUGCAUAUCUCUUUCUAGAUAUUUGUCCUAUUAAACUCCAGCCUUGUUCAGUGUGUGGACCAUAAGGUUUAUCUAGUCUGAAAACAUGCUCUGCAUGCUCUAAUUAUUAGUACAGAAGAAAAUAAAUACACUCACUGAUCAGAAUAUCCACUAGCAAUGAAGAAGGAAAAUGCUGCCAUCCCUGGGGGUAGAUUUCCAUAAUGUUCCUCACGCCCGUGCCAGAAUUCUGUUUUCUUUUUCUUUCAACAUCUUAGACCCUGAUUUCCAAGGUCAGAAUAGUUUCCCAGUCAGAUCUGGGUAGGAAAGAUGGAAGUCUGUGCCGGCUACCUUUAUAAAUCUUAUGUGAUUGUUAUUUUAGUGUGAUUAAAUAAAGAAAACAGUGAUUAAAAUUAUUCAUAGUGAUUCAUAUUAACAUUAUGAGGGAAUAACUAUAUUUCUGUUUUUAUUUUUUUGAGACAGUCUCACUAUGUCACCCAGGCUGGAGUGCAGUGGUGUGAUCUAGGCUCAUUGCAACCUCCACCUCUGGGAUUCAUGUGAUUCUCAUGCCUCAACCUCCAGAGUAGCUGGGAUUACAGGCGCACACCACCACUCCCGGCUAAUUUCGUAUUUUAAGUAGAGACGGGGGUUUCACCAUUUUGGCCAGGCUAGUCUCGAACUCCUGACCUCAGAUAAUCCACCAGCCUCGGCCUCCCUAAGUGCUGGGAUUAUAAGUGUGAGCCACCACACCCAGCUGGGAAUAACUAUAUUUCUAAGUGACAGAGCUUCAUUAUGGUUAGAUGUCAUGAGGAACAUGCUCGCUUGUUGAAGAUGCUUGGGUUGCAGGUGCCCCCCAUUUGCAUGCUGUAUAGCCCACAUCUGACCUUUGGAGCCCCUUCCUACCAUCCGCCACAAACUGAACGGUGCAAUUUCCAAAACUGUUUUCCUUAAGACUCAGGAUUUGAAGAAUAUCAUUUGAAAAUCCCUUUAGAGAUAGAAAGAAAGAUGAAAAGAAAGCAAUGGUCCUCUUGCUUGUAUUCUGUUCAGUCCUCACUCCAGACAAAAAUCACUGUCGGCCUUCGGUGACAGAAACAGAUGUCUCAAAGAGGACUGGAUCACACAAAGUCAGGCUUCACCUGGGUAGAAAGCAUUCUGCAUUGACAACCAUCUGGGUUUCAACUAGAUGAAAUGUGAUAAUACCAAAUAUUGUCUCAUAAUCCUGGAUGUUUGGCUAAUAGUACCAGUGAUGAUUCACCAACUCCACUCAUAGGGAGCAACUGCACACAUGUAUAGACGUAUAUGUCUGUGUGUGUGGAUGUAGGCAUGCGUGUAUAUAUAAGCAUGAGCAUGUUUCUAUGUUUAUAUGCAUGUACACAUAUGUGUGUACAUAUAAGCGUGCAUGUAUGCAUGUGUGUGUAUGUGUGUGUGUGUGUGUAUGUAUGCAUGUGUGUGUAUGUGCAUUAAAUGUUUUUAGUUAUAUUCUCCAAAUGCAUUUUUGGUUGACAUAACUGCCUACAUGUCCAAGGUUACCGACAUAAUUUAACAAACAACAAAUGUCAAAUGUCAGAGUUAUUAUUUUGAUUUUUUUUAAUUAAAGAUGUAAUUUCUAAAUGAGUGCAGGGGACUUCAGAAAUAUUAAUGUGCUAAAUUUCAAGUUCCUGAAACUUUAAAACUCAGAAAACAAGGGUGAGAUCUUAGAUAUAAGCUCUUGUUUUCGGGCGCCUUAAAUGUGAAUGAAUUGCAAGGCAUUCAGGAUCCACACGUCCCCAGCAAAGCCCUUGAGUCCUAAGACAGGAUCACGAGCAAAGGCAGUUUCCCUGCCAGCACCCUCAUUUCACAGAACGCGAGUGUAGCCCUUGUGUAGGUAAGUCUAUGAGCGAGUCUGGAGUGUCUUGGCUUCUUGUGGGCCUCUUUAUUGUAAACAGAGUAGACUUUUAAAUAAAUCAGAAAGAAAAUCCGAGGCAUGGAAAGGAAGGUUAGUCUGAAGUGCUCAUUUUAGGACCCCGAAUCUCACCAGCAUCCUUUUAUAUUGCAGCACACACUGCUGUUUCCAGGACCUCUGCAGGAUCUAUUUCAAUAAAUUAGGAUCUAAAGAGCCCUCCUGUUUCCUUAGAGUUAAGCUAAUGAUGCCAACAGUGCUGUUUUGUUUCCUGUAGUUGCCCUCUGUCCGCCUCAUAAGGCCCUUUCUAAAACCUUUACAUGCUGGGCCAAGCACAACCUGGUGGUCAUGGCUCAGACACCAUUUAAUUUCCUUCUCAAACCAUCUUGUUUUAUGUAAGUUGACCUUUCCAUGACUGUAAAAUCUCCUCAUUAGAAAAUGACAGGCUCUCUGGGAUUGGAAACCUUUCUCGAUAACACUCUGUAUAAAGGCGUCUGUGUAAGAUUUUUCUCAUUUAAAAAUGAAAAGAGACCCUUUCAUCCACUCCACCAGCAGCUUUCAGAGCACGCAGACAAUCCAUUUGAAUUUUGUUAAAAAAAAGAAAAACCAGAAAACCUGUUUUUUUGUGGGGCAGCCAGUGGAGGGGGGUCAGAGAUGGAUCUGAAGGAUCUGGUUUUAAGAACCUCAGAAUCAUUAUCCACUCUAUUUUCAGAGCACCCAUUCUCUGUUAAGUGUGUAACAUAUGCCAUUGCGAGAAUUUCCUACAGCUCUGCAGGGUUUCUAUUACAGUUGAGGAAACUUGGAUUCAGAAAGGUCCAGAAGCUCGCCCAAGGUCAUUGAGCAGGUGAGUGGCGGAGCUAGUGCUUAACCUGGGUCCUUGUGGCUCUGUUCUUUGUACUGCAUCAUUCUGCCUCUCAAGGCAAUAAUUUCUUAAAAAAAGACAUUUCAGAUAGCCAUGCUGCAGAUGCCUUAGCUUGCAUAGAAUACACUCUAUUAACAACAGUUAUUUGGACUGGAGAAUUACUAGGGUUUUUGACCUCAGCAAUUGGAGUACCUUUGCUACAGUACCAGCCCUGAGCCAGGCUGUUAGGAUUCAAACCCUUUCAUGGCCCCUGGCUGGCUGUGAGGUUCAGGAUUGUCACUUCUCUGGAGUGAGGUCUCUUGAGCUGAAACAUGAGUCCAUAUAACAUAAUACAUUCCUCAUAGCAUUGCUGUGAGGCGUAAAUGGGAGAAUGCUUGCAAAAUACUCUUGGGUAAUUAAUACAGCUGUUAUUAUUACCAAAUAAUAAUAGCUGUUAUUGUUACCAAAAUGACACAGAAAUGUUCCUGCCUCCCCUGCGCACCCGAAAAAAUUGGGAGAACAAAUCAACUUGUGACUUGCAAGAAACCUCAAAUAAUAGUGCCAGAUGAAGAAGGCUGAUAUAUAAGACUUGCCAGCAGUGGAGGGCAUUGCGACAAAAACUGAGCCCGACAGGAAGGCCGAGGCUGUCACAUCCCAUUAGUCCAGAGCUGUGACUUCAUGCUGACUCAGCCAAAGGCAGACAGUAAUCACAGCCAAGUUUAUAUGCUCAGAAUUGAUGUGGCCUUAUUUCCACAUUCUCAGAAGCAAAGUCAAGAGAAAACGGCGAUCAGAAAGUUUUUACGGGCCUCAUCAUGAAAUGCUGAGAGCUUCAGUGUAUUGAUUUGCCUUUAGUUAACCUCUGUAAUUCGAAGUGAUCACCCCCGCCAAAAAUGAAGGUAUAUCAAGAGAAUCCUUUUUACCUUUUGGUCAUUUUGAAACAAAGACCAUGUCAGUUCUUCUUUAUUCUAUAGAGAGUAAUUGAUUUGGGGUGAUGGUAAGUGUUCAGAUGAGAUUUCUGGAGGACAUUUAUCUGAGUCGUCCCAGACAAUCAAUAUUGUUUAUUUUAACGAGGUGAUUGCGUCGCCCAUUCAGAAAUGCUGAAGUACAUGCAUGAGCGCAGUCAAAGCACUGUUUUCAAUUAUCUUUUUGUAUUUCUAAUUGGUAGAAAUAAAUUAGAAGACAUGUAUUUGACUACUAUUCUGCACCAGCAAAUCCAUUUUUUUUAAAUGGUGCUAAUUGUGGUUGUCAUGGAAACCCUGAAGGUAGUUAGGCUGAUUGCUCAAUCUAUUUUUUUUUUCUUUGUAAGCCAUUAUUUCUUUGGCUGAUACUGAAGUUCCUCCUCUAGAAAGCAAUUACACAUAUGCUCACAAGACAUUUACUCUGAGUUAAGAUGCUCGAUAAAUCUGUUACACCAAUUAUAUUUGUACUGUGGUUAUGAGAAUCAAUAUGGUGGAGAUGUAAACUGAUCACAUAGAAAAGUGAAUAAACCAGUUAGUUGCUUGUUUUUUUUUUCCUGAAUGUAGUGAUGUAAUGCCUAGAUGAUUUUCAAAAACACUCUGCUUGCUUUAAACUUUUGGUAUUAUUUAAUGUCUGUGUGUAUGCUUUUCAAAUGUCAUUUUGCUGUACCUUUUCUGAAAAAUGUCAAAAUUAUAUUAAAGAGUCAUGUCUGCUUCUUGUUAAUCUUGUUGGCAGAUUUCACAGAGUAAAAACAUACAUGGAGGAUAUAGGCUGAGGGAAAAAGCCUCAGAGUAUAAAUGGUCGUAGAUAAAAUACUAGACGCAUCUUUUAUUAAUUGUGGGUACUCAACCUGGAUUGUAGUCUUCACGUAUAAACUGAGAGCCAUAACCUCAUCGGGUUGUUUAAAGAUGAAGUGUAACUAUACAUGUCAUGCUGCUCAUAUGGUGGUAGGCAUAUAAAAGAUGCCCUAGACAGUUUACUCUUGCUCCUGCCUAAGGCUCCGUAAUCAACUUUCCCUUCUGCACGUGUCCCCCACCGCCCACCCCCGCCACGACACACACACAGGGACUCACUCCGGGUUUCUGGAACUAUGUGUUUGUGUUGAAGGGAGAGAAAGUUUGGCUAGCAGAACCUCAGCAAAGUUUUAAUAACCUUACAGCAUCCCCAUGUUAUGGGAAACGAGCAAUGUCCUGGGACAAGCCUGACCUGGAAACAGAACCUUCCACAAGGAUUAAAAAAGUUCCAUCAUGGCCGGGCGCGGUGGCUCAAGCCUGUAAUCCCAGCACUUUGGGAGGCCGAGGCGGGUGGAUCACGAGGUCAAAAGAUCGAGACCAUCUUGGUCAACCUGGUGAAACCCCGUCUCUACUAAAAAUACAAAAAAAAUUAGCUGGGCACGGUAAUGCGUGCCUGUAAUCCCAGCUACUCAGGAGGCUGAGGCAGGAGAAUUGCCUGAACCCAGGAGGCGGAGGUUGCAGUGAGCCGAGAUCGCGCCAUUGCACUCCAGCCUGGGUAACAAGAGCAAAACUCUGUCUCAAAAAAAAAAAAAAAAAAAGUUCCAUCACAAUAACUUCCAACUAAAUACCGUCUCAAGAAGUUUAUUCUUCCAAACAAUAUCCUGUUGACUGGAUGAUUGAGUUGGGGCGGGGAGAGAACGCUUUACGAGCAAUAGUCAGUGGUUUGCUCUUGCAUGUGAGAGUUUUAGAAUCUGUACAACUAAACCAUUCCAACGUCCUUUCUCUGUCUCUCAGGCUGGAGUGCAGUGGCAGGACCAUGCUUCACUGCAGCCUUGAUCUCCCAGGCUCAACUGAUCCUCCUGCCUCAGCCUCCUAAGUAGCUGGGACCACAGGGGCAUACCACCACACCCAACUAAUUCUUAAAAGUUUUUUGUAGAGAUUGAGAUGGCUGUUGCUAUGUUGCCCAGGCUGAUGUCAAAUGCUUGGCCUCAAAGUGAUCCUCCCACCCUGGCCUCCCAAAGUGCUGGGAUUACAGGUGUGAGUGCCUGCACUCAGCCAACCAAACAUUUUUAAUGUAAAAAUAGAGCUACUGUCUCAGCUCAUUACAUUGGUCCAGAAUCUUUUUUCUUGGGAUCAUGAGAUGCAGUCACCAUAUUGGUAGCAUGUCCUUAUCUUACUAAAUCUUCCCUACUACAUAGUUGGUUCAUAUUAUGAGUCUUAUUUAUUUUAAUUAAACUGAAUAUCAAGAGCAACUGUAUGUUUGCAAUGUACCUUGUAUAUGCCUCAGUUAUAGCACUUACCACAGGGCAUUAUAAUUGUUUGCAUAUAUUUAUCCCCCAUAGAGUAAACAAUUUAGAGAUGACUGCUUUCUGUGAAACCAAACAAAACUAAAAUUUGAAAUCUUCAGCAUCAAGUAAGUUAGGCUCUUCACUCUUUCAGUGAUUAUUUAAUGAGCGUCUACUAUUUUCCCUGUGCUGGACUAACUAUUGGGAAUUCAGGAGUGAAUUUGGCAGACAUGUUUCCUUCCUCAUUAGGCGAUGAAACUUGUGUCUACUAGAGCAGCGGCUAAGUGCUGCAGGCAGUGAAUUUCCAGCUCUAUAGCACUCAGUGGCUGCCUAACCAGCUCGGGACUGCCCAAGAGUCAAGCAAGGCUUCUGAAGGCAACAGCUUUGAAGCAGAGAACUGAAGAUAAACAACUUAAAGGGUUAGGGAGAGUGUUCCAAACGGAGAGAAAAAAACAAACGUAAAUGGACACAGUCAGAGGUCAGAGUGUUCUUGAGUUCCUGUGCCUACAAGUUCCUAGGGAAGGGUCUCAACCCCUGCAUGAAACAUACACUGGUGACAUGGAUUUGCCAUUUUUAGGUAGGAGAUUGCAUUUUUUACAUAAACUGCGGGAUCUGCAGCUUGGGAUCUGUGUUUCUUAGGCUGAGGUGACACCCCUGAUGGUCCCUAUGGUGCAGCCUUUCAAGAUGAUUUGACAGCAACACAGCAGCCUCCCCGUGCAUCCUGGAAUGGAGCCUUGGUAGAGAACAAAGACACCCUCUGGUUUUUUUUUGUGAGAUUUUGGUUUGCUUAUCUGUUCCUCCAGACUUCAGACAUAUUUUGGUUUCUCAAGGGGUUGCUCAUUCAAAUGCCAAGUAGGCAAGGAUUUGAUUUUCAAUAAGGUGCGAUAGGGACAUGUAAAAUUAAGGGAAUUACAGGAGAGAGGAUGGUGUUUGGAGUCUGGUCAGAGAAAUCUGGUUUUGUCUCCUGACUUCUGCUCUCAGGUCUAAGUGAACUUCGGCACGUUCUUCUUUCCCUCUGUUAGGCAGGGAUAGGAACACCUGCCCACAGGGCUGCAGGAAGAUGGAGUGAAAAUGACGCUCAUUACCUGUUUAACGUGGUGCCUGGCAUCAUCUGUAAGUGAUCAUUAAGAAAGAGAGUAAUCUUUAGAAGCCUCAGCUUUAUUUUUUUUUAACUGAUGUAUUUUUCUUUGUUUUUCAUUUUUUGUUUUUUUAAAGCAGAUUUAUUGGAACAUAAUUAACAAACCAUAAUAUUCAUCCAUUUUAAAUGUAGAACUCAGUGAAUUUUAGUGUAUUUAGAGUUGUGCAAUCAACACCACAAUCUAAUUUUAGGACAUUCCCAUUAUCCUAGAAACUGAGUAUUUGGAUUUCCUCUUUUGUGUUUAUGAAUUCUAAAUUACACUCAGGAAAUAUUCAAUUUAAGACCCGAGAUAAUCAUCAUAUUUACUUACUAUGUCAUAUCUCAUGAUAUUGUGAUAAUUAUCAUCAAGGAUGUUAAUUCUUUUUUUUUUUUUUUUGGAGAUGGAGUUUCGCUCUUGUUACCCAGGCUGGAGUGCAAUGGCGCGAUCUCGGCUCACCGCAACCUCCGCCUCCUGGGUUCAGGCAAUUCUCCUGCCUCAGCCUCCUGAGUAGCUGGGAUUACAGGCACGCGCCACCAUGCCCAGCUAAUUUUUUGUAUCUUUAGUAGAGACGGGGUUUCACCAUGUUGACCAGGAUGGUCUCGAUCUCUUAACCUUGUGAUCCACCCGCCUCGGCCUCCCAAAAGUAUGUUACAACUUUAGAUAAUUUACUUGUUGAUAUUAUUAAUAAAUGUUAAAUGGUCUUUAUUGUACAAACAACAUUUAAUGAUGACUGGUGAUUGUUAUGCAAAUACGUUUUAAAAGUCUUGUCAUCAAACCUUUGGGAAAAAAUAUGUUUUCUUGUGUUGUUAUGGAAAAGUAGCUAGUCAGAUAAUCUUGAAUAUGUUACUAGUGUGCUCAUCUACCCUGUGUUAGCCAGACAGACUCCAUUUUGCUAAGAGUCAGACAGAGUCCAUUUUAACCUCUGCCUCACCCCUCCCGUCAUUUCUCCUUUGAGUGCAUAUCUGGGUCGUGUUCCUGUGCUGGGUCUUGUUGUACUUAGAGCUAUAGCAACAUAUCACCGUUGUAACCCUAUCCGGCUUGACAAGCCCACUUACCAUUGUGAAUACCCCCUUAAUUGAUGGUAUGGAAAGUACCGAAUGCCCCCCCGCCACUUGGUAACCAGCAAUCAUGGGAACCACUUGUGUAUCAUCUUAGUUAAUCAACAAUCAUGGGAGCCACUUGCCUCCUAGUUAACAGCCUCCUCCCCUGACUCGCUUGUUCUGCUUCUGUAAAAUUCCACUUCAGCUAGGCUCCCCCUCUCCUUUCCUAAGCAAGGUGUAAAAAGAAAUCGAGCCCCUCCCUCGGGACCGAGAGAUUUUGAGUGCCAGCUCUCUCAGUAGCCGGCAAUAAAGGACUCUCAAUUGGAACUCAGAGUGUGGUGCUUUCCUUCUCACUUGCUCAGUUAUAACACUAAAAACUCACUGGAAAAGGGCAGACUUAGUAGAGAGGCCAUGGGAUUAAGCAUGAGGGCAUUAUGGAGCCAGAGUUCAAACCCAAUUCAACCAGUUAUAGGCUGUGGAAUAUGAAACCAAAUGCCUUAACUCUCUGGGCCACAGUCUCUUCAUCUGUAAAACAGAGGUGGUAGUAGCAGUACCUGUCUCAUAGGGUUGCAGGAAUUAACUUAUGAUAUAUGUAAAGCCAUUAGUAUUGGGCCUGGCAUAUAGUAAGUGUUCAAUAAAUGACUGCUGGAAUUUUAUUGCGUGUAGUCUUUCAGGGAAUUGGUAAAGGGGACCAUUUUUUUAAAGUUUAUAAACACAUUAAGAAAAGUAGAGGAAGAGAAUUCUUUUUUCAUCUUAAGUAGGGAAUCAAAAAAAAAACCCCAUCCGGCUGGAAAAUGACGACUUUUAAAGAACUAAAUAAAAAUAAAUCUUAAUGUAUAUUCUCUGUGACAUAGAGAUAGAGCUAUUGCACUGUAAUCUGAUUUUGUUCUUUCAGCUAUGAAGAGAGGAGAUGAGGGAGACCAUAGAGACAGCCGACUUUGAUAGGAGAAAGGCUCCUAGACAGACACCCCAAGGCCUUUCCUUUACUUAGGUUUACUGACACAGGGAGGGGGUCAUCUGCCUGCAGCGGGGCCGAAACAUGCCACGAAUAGCCACAAAAGGCUGGAGACUGUGACUGGCUGUUUGAAUGUCAUCCUUGCCCCUGGCUCUACCGUGACGUGUGCAUAGCUGGAGGUGAGAAUAUUAACACAAAAACCAGUGGAUCCAGAACAUGUGGAAUGGCCUGGUUUCCAGGGGUCUUCAGGUCACAUGGUCACUUGCAGAAUUGAAUGGAGAGGUGACAUUGACUAGGGCUGAUGCCCUGUGAUUUGGGGAGUUUGGACAUAGGGGCUUGA